rnacentral:rRNA from 1 species
GGAGGUUGGCUUAGAAGCAGCCAUCCUUGAAAGAGUGCGUAAUAGCUCACUGGUCGAGUGGUUCUGCGCCGAUAAUGUAGCGGGGCUUAAGUACACCGCCGAAACCGCGGCAACACUAUUUUAUUGGUGUUGGGUAGGGGAGCGUCGUGCAUGUGUUGAAGCUAUUUGGUGACAGGUGGUGGAGUGUGUGCGAGUGAGAAUGCAGGCAUGAGUAACGAUUGAUGUGUGAGAAACAUAUCCGCCGGAUGACUAAGGGUUCCUGGGUGAAGUUUGUCUUCCCAGGGUGAGUCGGGGCCUAAGGCGAGGCCGACAGGCGUAGUCGAUGGAUGACGGGUUGAUAUUCCCGUACCCGUGUGCGUGCGACAAGUGAUGAAUCUUAUGGUACUAACCGCCCGCUUGUUUCUGCUGAUCUUUUUGGUUGGUGGUUUCAGGUGCGUGGGAUCUUCGUGGGUAGUAGUCAAGUGAUGGGGUGACGCAGAGUGGUAGCUAGGCUUCCUUAUUGGAUUGGAGUGCAAGCGUGUGGCCUGUGGGGUUGGGAAAUCCGCCCCACAUGUAAGGUGAGGCGUGAUGCGGACACCAUGUUGUGGUGGUAGUUAGUGUGCCUGUGCUGUCUAGAAAAGCCUCUAGCGAGUGCGUGCAUGGCCCGUACCGGAAACCGACACAGGUGGUCAGGUAGAGAAUACUAAGGCGUUCGGGUGAACUGUGGUUAAGGAACUCGGCAAAAUGCCCCCGUAACUUCGGGAGAAGGGGGACCAUUACUGGUUGCUGACAGCGUGAUGGCUGGUGGUGGUCGCAGAGGAGAGAGGGAAGCGACUGUUUAUUAAAAACACAGGUCCGUGCGAAAACGUGGAAGUUGAGGUAUACGGACUGACGCCUGCCCGGUGCUGGAAGGUUAAGAGGACUCGUGAGCACGCCUAGUGUGUGCGAGGCGGAGAAUUGAAGCCCCAGUAAACGGCGGUGGUAACUAUAACCAUCCUAAGGUAGCGAAAUUCCUUGUCGGGUAAGUUCCGACCUGCACGAAUGGCGUAACGACUUCCCUGCUGUCUCAACCACAGGCCCGGUGAAAUUGCAGUACGAGUAAAGAUGCUCGUUUCGCGCGGCAGGACGAAAAGACCCCGGGACCUUUACUAUAGCUUGGUAUUGGUGUUUGGUCAUGCUUGUGUAGGAUAGGUGGGAGACUGUGAAACCGCAACGCUAGUUGUGGUGGAGUCGCAGGUGAAAUACCACUCUGGUGUGAUUGGGUACCUGAACCUUGGCCCGUGAUCCGGGUUGGGGACAGUGCCUGGUGGGUAGUUUAACUGGGGCGGUUGCCUCCUAAAUGGUAACGGAGGCGCCCAAAGGUUUCCUCAGUCUGGUUGGCAAUCAGAUGGUGAGUGUAAGUGUAUAAGGGAGCUUGACUGUGACACUGACGGGUGGAGCAGGUGCGAAAGCAGGGACUAGUGAUCCGGCAUCGACGUGUGGUUGUGGUGUCGCUCAACGGAUAAAAGGUACCCCGGGGAUAACAGGCUGAUCUUCCCCAAGAGUUCAUAUCGACGGGAUGGUUUGGCACCUCGAUGUCGGCUCGUCGCAUCCUGGGGCUGGAGUAGGUCCCAAGGGUUGGGCUGUUCGCCCAUUAAAGCGGCACGCGAGCUGGGUUUAGAACGUCGUGAGACAGUUCGGUCUCUAUCCGCCGCGCGCGU